UGGCUAGAUGGGGAAGGAUCAACACUGUAACCUACUGCUCCUAUCUCAGUGUAUUUGUAGAAUGGUACAAGUUCUGCUGUGUUAGAAGACUGAGGGGUGGAGGGAUGUAGGAAGUGUGUGAUGUCUCAACUGAGCUCGGUGAGAUUGAAGUACCAGUCAGAUAAGUCAUUGUAGAUAAAUCGGCAGACAAGUCAUGAACUCUUGUGAAUAAAACAAUGCAAGUCACACGGGAAAAUCAGGUCAGUAAGAUUGUGAUCAAGCCACACAUAUACAUCAGGAGAUUCAGAGAUUAUACUGAUAGGUCAAGUGAAUCAGUUUAUACAGGUGAAAUAGAUUUCAUAGGAAGUCAUGUGAAUUAGAUCAUACAGGUGAAUCAGACCAUAAAGGUUAGUCAGGUAAAUCAGAUUAUAAAGGGGAGUCAUGUGAAUGAGAUUAUACAGGUGAGUCAUAUUAUACAGGUGAGUCAUGUGGAUCAGAUUAUACAGGUGAGUCAGGUGAAUCAGAUUAUAAAGGGGAGUCAUGUGGAUCAGAUUAUACAGGUGAAUCAGACUAUAAAGGAGAGUCAUGUGGAUCAGAUUAUACAGGUGAGUCAGGUGAAUGAGAUUAUACAGGUGAAUCAGAUUCCACAGGUGAGUCAGGUGAAUCAGAUUAUACAGAGGAGUCACAAUAAGAUACUAUGUAUGUUACUUUCAUGUAAGAUAACUUAUACAGGUGAUGAAAGUGGCUCAGUCAUUCUGAGAAUGUCAGAGAUAAGAGAUUUGCAAGGUACUCAUCCACAAUGUUACCAAAAUAUAUUUCUUCACACACUUCCUUAAGUGGCAUUUAGAGGCUGGUAUGAUGAAGAGGAACGAGUUUAUGAAUUGACAUCUUCACUGAAACAUCGCAUCUAUUGUAUUGAAGGAGUUGACAAUCCACAAAUUUGUUCUUCUUCUUCACACACUGUCACACGUGGAAAGCCAUGAAGACAACUUACUCUGACAGUCACUAGGGAAAGAUUGUCAUACUGCUUCACAAAUCCAGCCACUUGCUUUGUGCCGUCCUCCGCCUUGUAGAACCACUCCUU